AGAUUUUGACUGGUGUGACCCGAACCCGUGUCCUAAUGACCUCCUCUGUGUGAACCUGGGGAAUCACUUCCAUUGUGCUCCCCGUUCUAACGGCCGGAGAGUCCAGCACAAGUGCAGCAGCGCCUCCUGUCCGGAUGGCAUGUACUGCACCUCUGAGGACGUGGGAGGCUACUCGUGCAAGCUUCAGUGACGUCACAAAGGAGCCUUCCACGUGACAGCAAGCAAAAGAACCAAUCAGAGAUAGAAGACGUUUGAUUAAUAAACCAUCAAAAUGAUA